AGAGUUUGAUCCUGGCUCAGGAUGAACGCUGGCGGCGUGCUUAACACAUGCAAGUCGAACGAAGCACUUUAUUUGAUUUCCUUCGGGACUGAUUAUUUUGUGACUGAGUGGCGGACGGGUGAGUAACGCGUGGGUAACCUGCCUUGUACAGGGGGAUAACAGUUGGAAACGGCUGCUAAUACCGCAUAAGCGCACGGCAUCGCAUGAUGCAGUGUGAAAAACUCCGGUGGUAUAAGAUGGACCCGCGUUGGAUUAGCUAGUUGGUGAGGUAAUGGCCCACCAAGGCGACGAUCCAUAGCCGACCUGAGAGGGUGACCGGCCACAUUGGGACUGAGACACGGCCCAAACUCCUACGGGAGGCAGCAGUGGGGAAUAUUGCACAAUGGGCGAAAGCCUGAUGCAGCGACGCCGCGUGAGCGAAGAAGUAUUUCGGUAUGUAAAGCUCUAUCAGCAGGGAAGAUAAUGACGGUACCUGACUAAGAAGCACCGGCUAAAUACGUGCCAGCAGCCGCGGUAAUACGUAUGGUGCAAGCGUUAUCCGGAUUUACUGGGUGUAAAGGGAGCGCAGGCGGUGCGGCAAGUCUGAUGUGAAAGCCCGGGGCUCAACCCCGGUACUGCAUUGGAAACUGUCGUACUAGAGUGUCGGAGGGGUAAGCGGAAUUCCUAGUGUAGCGGUGAAAUGCGUAGAUAUUAGGAGGAACACCAGUGGCGAAGGCGGCUUACUGGACGAUAACUGACGCUGAGGCUCGAAAGCGUGGGGAGCAAACAGGAUUAGAUACCCUGGUAGUCCACGCCGUAAACG
rnacentral:rRNA from 1 species